UAACUACAAAGCAUUAAGCAUCUCGCUCUUCAUAUUUACACACAAAGUUCUCUUCCUCAUCUCUCUCUGGAUCUAAAUUAGUAUCUACACCAACGGAACUUUGAUCUCGAUUCGACGUUAAUCUCGUCGCAAAUCUAAUCUUCGAAAAUGCCGCUCAGACUUGAAAUCAAGAGAAAACUUGCUCAAAGAUCAGAGAGAGUUAAGUCUGUGGAUUUACAUCCAACUGAACCAUGGAUUCUAGCGAGUUUGUAUUCUGGAACUGUGUGUAUUUGGAACUACCAGUCUCAGACUAUGGCUAAGUCAUUUGAGGUCACUGAGUUGCCAGUUAGGUCAGCAAAGUUUGUAGCACGCAAGCAAUGGGUUGUUGCUGGAGCUGAUGACAUGUUUAUUCGUGUAUACAAUUACAAUACAAUGGACAAAGUUAAAGUAUUUGAAGCACAUACGGAUUACAUUAGGUGCGUUGCUGUCCAUCCAACCCUUCCGUAUGUGCUGUCAUCAUCUGAUGAUAUGCUCAUAAAACUAUGGGACUGGGAGAAGGGUUGGAUGUGUACUCAGAUAUUUGAGGGACAUUCUCACUAUGUUAUGCAAGUAACAUUUAAUCCGAAAGACACCAAUACUUUUGCCAGUGCAUCUCUUGAUCGCACCAUAAAGAUUUGGAACCUUGGUUCCCCAGACCCAAAUUUUACCUUGGAUGCCCAUCAGAAAGGAGUAAAUUGUGUUGAUUAUUUUACUGGUGGUGAUAAACCUUAUCUGAUCACUGGUUCAGAUGAUCAUACCGCCAAGGUGUGGGAUUAUCAAACCAAAAGUUGUGUCCAGACGCUUGAAGGCCACACUCACAAUGUCUCUGCAGUAUGUUUUCAUCCUGAGCUUCCUAUUAUCAUCACAGGUUCUGAGGAUGGGACAGUACGCAUUUGGCAUGCAACUACUUAUAGGCUUGAGAACACAUUGAAUUAUGGUCUUGAAAGAGUUUGGGCCGUUGGAUAUAUGAAAGGUUCACGCAGAGUUGUGAUUGGUUAUGAUGAAGGAACUAUUAUGGUGAAAAUUGGCCGCGAAGAACCUGUAGCUAGUAUGGAUAAUAGUGGAAAGAUCAUAUGGGCCAAGCAUAAUGAAAUUCAAACUGUGAACAUCAAGAGUGUGGGGGCUGAUUUUGAGGUAACUGAUGGAGAAAGAUUGCCUUUGGCUGUUAAGGAGUUGGGAACCUGUGAUCUUUACCCACAAAGCUUAAAGCACAAUCCGAAUGGGAGGUUUGUUGUUGUCUGUGGAGAUGGCGAGUACAUUAUAUAUACUGCUUUGGCAUGGAGAAAUAGGUCCUUUGGCUCAGCACUGGAGUUCGUUUGGUCAUCUGAUGGAGAAUAUGCUGUUAGAGAAAGCUCGUCAAAGAUUAAGAUUUUCAGUAAAAAUUUUCAGGAGAAAAAGAGUAUCAGACCAACCUUCUCAGCUGAACAUAUUUAUGGAGGUACAUUGUUGGCAAUGUGCUCAAAUGAUUUUAUCUGCUUUUAUGAUUGGGCUGAGUGCAGGUUGAUUCGGCGGAUUGAUGUUACUGUGAAAAAUCUUUAUUGGGCUGAUAGCGGUGAUUUAGUGGCAAUUGCUAGUGAUUCGUCAUUCUACAUCCUGAAGUACAAUCGGGAUGUAGUUUUAUCUCAUUUAGACAGUGGAAGAUCAGUUGACGAACAAGGUGUUGAGGAUGCCUUUGAGCUUCUCCAUGAAACCAAUGAACGUGUCAGGACUGGUAUAUGGGUUGGGGAUUGUUUCAUUUAUAACAAUUCUUCGUGGAGACUUAAUUACUGUGUUGGUGGUGAGGUAACCACAAUGUUUCAUUUGGACCGCCCUAUGUACUUGUUGGGAUACCUUGCUAGUCAAAGCCGUGUGUAUCUAAUAGACAAGGAGUUCAAUGUUAUGGGAUACACACUGCUUCUGAGCUUGAUUGAGUACAAGACUCUUGUGAUGCGUGGAGAUUUGGAUAGAGCUAAUGAAAUAUUACCUUCAAUUCCAAAAGAGCAUCAUAACAGUGUGGCUCGUUUCUUGGAGUCACGUGGAAUGAUAGAGGAAGCUUUGGAAGUGGCUACUGAUCCUGAUUAUAGAUUUGAGCUAGCUAUUCAGCUUGGUAGAUUGGAGGUUGCACAGGAUAUUGCUAAAGAGGUGCAGAGUGAGUCUAAAUGGAAGCAAUUGGGAGAAUUAGCUAUGUCUACUGGAAAGUUAGAAAUGGCUGAGGAAUGUAUGAAAUAUGCAAUGGAUUUGAGUGGUUUAUUGCUGCUCUACUCUUCCAUAGGAGAUGCUGAAGGGAUAUCAAAACUUGCUUCCCUUGCAAAAGAGCAAGGGAAGAACAAUGUUGCUUUCCUUUGUUUAUUCAUGUUGGGUAAAUUGGAAGACUGCCUCCAGCUGUUGGUGGAAAGCAAUCGGAUACCUGAGGCUGCUUUGAUGGCACGAUCAUACCUUCCAAGCAAGGUUUCAGAGAUUGUCGCUAUUUGGAGGAAAGACCUGCAUAAGGUUAAUCCAAAAGCUGCUGAAUCUUUGGCCGAUCCUGAAGAGUAUCCUAACUUGUUUGAGGAUUGGCAAGUUGCUCUUUCUGUGGAAUCUAAAGUUGCCGAGACAAGGGGUGUGUAUCCUCCUGCCGAGGACUAUGUAAACCAUGUUGAUAAAUCACACAUAACCCUUGUGGAGGCUUUCAGAAACAUGCAAAUUGAAGAAGAGGAAACUCUUGAAAAUGGAGACUUCGAUCAUGAGGAGACUGAACAAAAUGGAGAAAAGAAUGCUGAGGAGCAGAAUGGAGAAGAAGAAAGCCAAGAGGAGGCUGUCGUGGUGGAUGCUGAUUCUACAGAUGGUGCUGUACUCGUUAAUGGUAACGAGGCUGAAGAAGAGUGGGGUACGAAUAAUGAGGGAACCCCGUCAGCCUAAAAGCAAUUGGUUGAGGCAGUGUGAAAAUCCAAAUUUUGUCUCUGUGCUUACACCACGUCACCAGGAUCUCUGAAGAUGGUUGGCUCCAGCUAUAUAAGUCCCUUACUUAAGCUACCAGGCUUCUUGCUGGAGGCUGGAGAGAGGUGAUUGUAGAGCUGGUUGUCUCAAAUUCCGGUGGUGUGGCCCUGUAGCGCAUUGAGUUUUGUCAUGGGCGCAUAGUAUACAGUUAUAGAAUCAGUUACGAUUUUUAUUGCUUCCAUAAUUGUUGUUUUAGCAUAUUCUUUUUGAGGCCUUUUUCACCCCUUAAAAUUUUCUAGUGCCUUUGUGAAUGUAGAAAAAAAAAUUUAGUGACCAUUACCCAACUCAAACCCAUAUUCACUUAUUCAUAUUUAGAUAUGCGGUUCCGCUAAAUAUCUGGUUUUGCUUUGGGGAUUUUUUCAGAUGAAACUUGAAUUGUAACAUGUCUUGAGAAGUAUCAUAUACAUAAUUUUCUCAUA